AGUGAACGCUGGCGGUAGGCCUAACACAUGCAAGUCGAACGGCAGCACAGUAAGAGCUUGCUCUUACGGGUGGCGAGUGGCGGACGGGUGAGGAAUACAUCGGAAUCUACUUUUUCGUGGGGGUUAACGUAGGGAAACUUACGCUAAUACCGCAUACGACCUACGGGUGAAAGCAGGGGAUCUUCGGACCUUGCGCGAUUGAAUGAGCCGAUGUCGGAUUAGCUAGUUGGCGGGGUAAAGGCCCACCAAGGCGACGAUCCGUAGCUGGUCUGAGAGGAUGAUCAGCCACACGGGAACUGAGACACGGUCCAGACUCCUACGGGAGGCAGCAGUGGGGAAUAUUGGACAAUGGGCGCAAGCCUGAUCCAGCCAGACCGCGUGGGUGAAGAAGGCCUUCGGGUUGUAAAGCCCUUUUGUUGGGAAAGAAAAGCAGCAGGUUAAUACCCCGCUGUUCUGACGGUACCCAAAGAAUAAGCACCGGCUAACUUCGUG
rnacentral:rRNA from 1 species